GAUGAACGCUAGCGGCAGGCCUAAUACAUGCAAGUCGAACGGGUGGUCGCAAGACCACUAGUGGCGCACGGGUGCGUAACGCGUAACCAACCUGCCCCGAUCUGGGGGAUAGCCCGCCGAAAGGCGGAUUAAUACCGCAUAUACCCGCAGCCUGGCAUCAGGCAACGGGGAAAGAUUUAUUGGAUCGGGAUGGGGUUGCGUGACAUUAGCUAGUUGGCGGGGUAAGGGCCCACCAAGGCGACGAUGUCUAGGGGACCUGAGAGGGUGAUCCCCCACACUGGCACUGAGAUACGGGCAAGACUCCUACGGGAGGCAGCAGUAGGGAAUAUUGGGCAAUGGGCGAGAGCCUGACCCAGCCAUGCCGCGUGCCGGAUGAAGGCCUUCUGGGUUGUAAACGGCUUUUCUCAGGGAAGAAAAAGACCUUGCGAGGUACACUGACGGUACCUGAGGAAUAAGCACCGGCUAACUCCGUG
rnacentral:rRNA from 1 species